rnacentral:rRNA from 1 species
CCCUUAGAUGUUCUGGGCCGCACGCGCGCUACACUGAUGCAUUCAACGAGUCUAAAACCUGAUCUGAUAGGGCUGGGUAAUCUUUUGAAAGUGCAUCGUGAUUGGGAUAGAUGAUUGCAAUUCUUCAUCUUCAACGAGGAAUGCCUAGUAAACGCAAGUCAUCAGCUUGCAUUGAUUACGUCCCUGCCCUUUGUACACACCGCCCGUCGCUCCUACCGAUUGAAUGAUCCGAUGAAUACCAUGGAUUGAGAGUACGAAUGGGUUCGCUCAUUUCUGCUGCUCGAGAAGUGGAGUAAAUCUUAUCAUUUAGAGGAAGGAGAAGUCGUAACA